rnacentral:rRNA from 1 species
UACGUAGGGUGCAAGCGUUAAUCGGAAUUACUGGGCGUAAAGCGUGCGCAGGCGGUUGUGCAAGACCGAUGUGAAAUCCCCGGGCUUAACCUGGGAAUGGCAUUGGUGACUGCACGGCUAGAGUGUGUCAGAGGGGGGUAGAAUUCCACGUGUAGCAGUGAAAUGCGUAGAGAUGUGGAGGAACACCGAUGGCGAAGGCAGCCCCCUGGGACCUGACUGACGCUCAUGUACGAAAGCGUGGGGAGCAAACAGG